rnacentral:tRNA from 2 species
GGGUCGUUAGCUCAGUCGGUAGAGCAGCGGACUUUUAAUCCGACGGUCGCGGGUUCAACCCCCGCACGACCCA